UUUGGCACUUAAGUCAAACGGAUUGCUCGAACAAACAAGCAAGUGUUUUCCAUACGACUGUGCUACCAGUGGCGUAUUUACUAAAGCAAAAUAAAUAUUAUUUCAAGUAGGAUGAGCAGGUAUCUCGUAGCAGAAGCUGCAUUAGAAAGCCACCGGGUAUCUACAACCGGAUGAGGAUGUUCCGACUGAGCAAACGGUAA